GUCCCCUUAGCAGCUGACCUCCUCCUCCAGCCCUGCGGCUGCCUCCUCUCCAACAGGGACCCUCCUGAUUUUCAUCCACUUGGCUCCCCAAGUUGCUGCUCGACCGCUCUCUGACCUGGAUUCACUGAGGACACAUCAGGCCUUUGCCACGGGGUCCAUGGAGUGGCCGGAGCCCAGGGCUGGUCUAGUUGGAUCCUGGGUGAAGACUCAGGCCUUGCUCAAGAAGGGAGACCACCCAUAUGUGCUGUCACGUGUUUCCAGGGAGGAGGCUGGAAGUCCAAGAUCAAGGUCCUGAGGAACUCAUGCACAUGUGUCCUGGAGACCUGCAAGAGAACAGCACCAUGGAGAUGAACAGCAACUAAUACCACUCAAAGGCCCACCAACAGGAGAAUGGAUACACCAGCAGGGGUGCAUGCAUGCAACGGAACACACCACGUACUGGUGAGAGUGAAUCAAUGACGGCCACAUGCAUCAACGCCAAUGAGGCUGAGACUCGUAAUAUCAAAUUUAGAAUUGCAAGUAGCAGAAGGAUCAAAGUUAUAUUUGUAAUAAAGCUUAAACACAAGCAAAUUGAGCACUGUAUUGUUUAGGCACACAUUCACAUUUGGUAAAGACAUAAAGCAAAGCAAGGGAAUGAGACAAAAAUGAAAUCCCAGAGUGGUCAGGUGGUCAGGUCUUGGGGGGUGGCGUGGAGUUGGGGAAGGGCAUCAGAGUGGAUCUCACCUCAGCUCCGACUGC